GUGCUCACUUUGGCAGCACAUAUACUAAAAUUGGAACUAUACAGAGAAGAUUAGCAUAACUCUUUUGCAAGGAUGACAUGUAAUUUCGUGGAACGUUCCAUAUUUAA